GGGAUUGCCUCAGUAACGGCGAGUGAAGCGGCAAAAGCUCAAAUUUUAAAUCUGGUGCUCCACAGUACCCGAGUUGUAAUUUGGAGAGGCAACUUCCGACAGAGCUUCAACCUAUGUUCUUUGGAACAAGACGUCACAGAGGGUGAGAAUCCCGUGCAUGGUUGAAGAUUGCUGUUGUAUGUGAAGUGCUUUCAACGAGUCGAGUUGUUUGGGAAUGCAGCUCAAAAUUGGGUGGUAAAUUUCAUCUAAAGCUAAAUAUUGGCGAGAGACCGAUAGCGCACAAGUAGAGUGAUCGAAAGAUGAAAAGCACUUUGAAAAGAGAGUCAAACAGUACGUGAAAUUGUUGAAAGGGAAGCGCUUGUAAUCAGAUCUGGUCGAGAAUGAUCAACCUUUCAUUUUGAGGGGUGCACUCGUUCUUGGAUCAGGCCAACGUCGGUUAACCUUUUGGGUAAAUGGUUGAGGGAAUGUGGCACUCUUAGGGGUGAGCUUAUAGCCUUUGACUAUACCAUGCAGGUUGACCGAGGAACCGCGCCUUCGGGGCUAGGACGUUGGCUUAAU
rnacentral:rRNA from 1 species